UCCCCGUGGGUCCCCCACGGCCCUGCCGCGCUUACCCGAAUUUACCGCCAACAGCGCCGCCAUCUUGGAGGAGGACUGCCGGAGCCCUCCUGCCACGGGGAGGACCCCGGACCGGAGGGGCUGCCCGCGGCGACGCCUGAACAGAAAGGCGUCCCGAGGCCCCCUGUGCACAGCGGGCGAGGCUCCAGCAGGUGGACGCAAGACUCCAGACUUUGCUCUGACCCACAGUCAUCGAUUCUCACUGAGACCAUUCCCGUUCAAAUUAGCAUGGCCUGCUGAGCUGGUAAGAGGACAGUUGAGGUGGCAUCAGAGGAGUGAGAGAAGCAAAAGUGGCAGGGAAAGGCAGUGGCACCAACAGCAGCAGAUUCAGUGACAGAGCAGCGGAUGGGUGACAGGGUACUGAAAUCGUAAGACGUGACAGGCAAGAGCGUAUGGUGGAAAUAUAAAAAAGUCAAGAGAGGACAGAUGGUCAAAGCUAGAAGGGAUGGGAAACUGUGGGCUGGCUCUUGUUGCUGGAAGGGAGAGGUCUAAAGGGCUGCUAAACCUUGAAGUCCUGAGACUCUAGGCCUGAGAGCUGAGAUACACUGUCAAAAGACUAUGCUUCCUGACACCGAGGCCCAAGAGCUGUGGCACGAACAGACACUGCUUGCUGCUGCCCCCUGAUGCUGCUCAUUUCUUCCAGAAGCCAAGAAUUACAAUAGUCACUAAGUGACAGAAACACGGAUGGCAUGGUGGUUAGUAUUGUCAACUGGAUAGAAUCUAGACUCACCUGUGAGACAGGCCUAUGAGAAUGCCUGUGGAUGAUUAUUUUGUUUUAUGUUUAUUGGGGUGGGAAGAAAGAGCCACUGUGGGUGGCACCAUUCCCUGGCUAGGAUCCUUGACUCUAUGAGCAGACAGAUGGAGCUGAGCAGCAGCAUGCAUAGACUCCUCACUCUCUGCUUCCUGAUGGUGGGUGUAAUGUAACCAGCUGCUCCAAGCUCCUGCUGUCUAGACUUCCCAGCCACGAUAGGUUGUACCCUUGCACUAUGAGCUGAAAUAAAUUCGUUCUCUCUUGA